rnacentral:misc_RNA from 1 species
ACUCACCCCAAAAGCUAGCUCAAGAGAGGAAAAGUGCCCAAGUUUUUAUAAGAGAUACAUUAUCCACAUACCUAAUCGAUGUGGGAUAUUUAACACACUCCCUCACACCCAUGGCUAACACAUGGAGCAUGAAAUAUUUAUGGGAGGCUCAAACAACAAUUAGGGAGGCUUUGAUACCAUGUAGAUAAAAUAAACUGGACUUGACUCACCCCUACAAGCUAGCUUA